AUUGAACGCUGGCGGCAGGCCUAACACAUGCAAGUCGAGCGGCAGCGGAAAGUAGCUUGCUACUUUGCCGGCGAGCGGCGGACGGGUGAGUAAUGUCUGGGAAACUGCCUGAUGGAGGGGGAUAACUACUGGAAACGGUAGCUAAUACCGCAUAAUGUCGCAAGACCAAAGAGGGGGACCUUCGGGCCUCUUGCCAUCAGAUGUGCCCAGAUGGGAUUAGCUAGUAGGUGGGGUAACGGCUCACCUAGGCGACGAUCCCUAGCUGGUCUGAGAGGAUUACCAGCCACACUGGAACUGAGACACGGUCCAGACUCCUACGGGAGGCAGCAGUGGGGAAUAUUGCACAAUGGGCGCAAGCCUGAUGCAGCCAUGCCGCGUGUAUGAAGAAGGCCUUCGGGUUGUAAAGUACUUUCAGCGGGGAGGAAGGUGUUGUGGUUAAUAACCACAGCAAUUGACGUUACCCGCAGAAGAAGCACCGGCUAACUCCGUGCCAGCCGCCGCCGUAA
rnacentral:rRNA from 1 species